CAAUAGCGUAUAUUUAAGUUGUUGCAGUUAAAAAGCUCGUAGUCGGAUUUUGGCUGAGAACGAUCGGUCCGCCGUUAGGUGUGCACUGAUUGGUCUCAGCUUCCUGGUGAGGAGGUGUGCUUCACGGCCACUUAGUCACCGUGGUUACUUUGAAAAAAUUAGAGUGUUCAAAGCGGGCUUACGCUUGAAUAUAUUAGCAUGGAAUAACACCAUAGGACUCCUGUCCUAUUUCGUUGGUCUCGGGACGGGAGUAAUGAUUAAGAGGAACAGUUGGGGGCAUUCGUAUUUCAUUGUCAGAGGUGAAAUUCUUGGAUUUAUGAAAGACGAACUUCUGCGAAAGCAUUUGCCAAGGAUGUUUUCAUUG
rnacentral:rRNA from 1 species